rnacentral:misc_RNA from 1 species
AACUCAGCUCAUCAGCAGACGCCAAACCGAACAUGCUGCCUGGAAGAGGCCGGGGCAGCUUUCAAAGCCGCGGUGGCGGCCGCCAUGCUGGUGGCAGCAACCAUGGGCGCGGCGGCGCUGCAGCGACAGCUCACAAAUCCGCCCCUGCGCGAGUGAAGCGCUCUGUAGUGCCCGCCUUCCCAGUUGUAUCUCGCGGCGGUGAGCCCGCUGAACCGACGACCCCGUCUGCCCGUCUUGCUUCGCUCCAGCGGGCACAGAAGCGGCAAGAGCAGCAAGGCAGACGCAGCACGCACGACGACGGCGGCGACGACGCCCCACCGGUUGCGGUGAGCGCGCGUCGCGGACCGGCGGCAGCGAGCGAGGGUGAGAGCGGCGGCUUCAUCCCACCUGGGUCGCAGAAACAGCAGCGCGGCCGCGGCCGCGGAGUGGAUCGUGUCGGCCACGGACGAUUUAACGAGAGUGGCGGUGCUCGAGGACGCGGCGGCGAAGGCGGGCUUCGUCGCGAUCGCGGCGGCUUCGGCGGUGGCGUCUCUGCGUCGUCCGCCUGUGCCUUCUCGUCUCGCGGCCGCGGCCGCGGGCGCGGCGGCUCCCCGUAUUCCCCUCACCGCGGUGGGCAUGACAGCAGUGCCUCUCACCAUGGCGAGGAAGAGCACGAUAGCAACGAGGAGGCGGGCUUCGAUUCGAACACAGCUAAGAGUGGCCCCCGCACACGCGUCAUCACCACCGUAACUGCCAACGGCACGGAGCUUCCAAAGAAGCUCAACACUAAGGUCUUCGUCGAUGGCCUGCCGUACACGUACGCCGCCGAGCCUGGGAAGCCCACGCUGGAGGAGGAGGUGCUACAGUUCGCGUCGGCGUGGAAGGUUGGCAAGCCACUGCGUCUCAUUAAGAAGCCUGGGCAGGGAUUUGGCUUCCUCGUGCUUCAGUCCCCCAAUAGCGUCUCCACCGCCGUGCGGGUGCUGAAUGGUCGCAAGUUCCUCGGCCGCACCCUCCGCGUCGAGGAGCCGAAGCCGAAGGAUUUGGAAAGGACGAAGGACAUUGGCGGGAUGAAGGACCUGGGAAAGGACAGCUUCACGCGACAGGUGCUGCUCACAGACUUGGCCAAGGUGACACAGCCAGAGAUUAUCCGCGAGGUACUGCGCGACGUUGCCCCGCAGCUGGAGAAGAAGCUGGAGGCGAUUAAAAUGACCUCGCAGAACCGUAAAGCCUUCCUGACCUUCGCGACGGAGGCAGAGGUGACGCCGGCCAUUACCUUCCUCGACGGCUUUCACCUUCUUGGGCGGCGUAUCAGCGCCACGAAGGCAGCGGCGCCCGGUUCGCUGCCCUACUCACACGGUGCCACCAGGACGCCACGCGCGGCUGGCGGCCUUGCUGGGAAAAGCACCGCGGUUGCCUCGCCCGCGGCCAGCGGGUCUGCGGCUGCAGAGGCUGAUGACGAGGAGGAGCUCACCGUCAUGCCGCUCGGCUUAGAGCCGUCCAAGGUGGCCUCUGCCGCGGCCCGUCGUUGCUCACGCGCCGAAAACGUGUCAGCUUCUGCCACCGGCACCGGCAGUAACGUCACGGGGCGGACGGAGAAGUACAACCUCCUCGACGACGGCCCCAAAGAUAUCUAUGUGGGGAACGUCGGCGAGGAUGUGACGGAGGCGACGCUGCGGCAGCACUUCGCACCGUGCGGGGCAAUCCGCAAGUGCGAGAUCCUUGUGCACCCCGAGACGCACCUAUCCACUGGUAUUGCCCACAUCGAGUUUGCGCUGCCAGCCUACGCUGCAUAUGCGCAGGAGCGCUAUCACGGCUCUCGUCUGCGCGGCUGCGUCCUUCGCGUGGAUCGCGGCGAGACGGCAAGUGCGCCUCUUGUGGCUGAGUUGCCUCCGGAGGAGGCUGAGGAGGACUAUGACGAGGAUGCUUACAUGGAACGCUACGGCGUGAAGGACAAGAGGAAGUACUUUAAGGGCACUUCGGUCGCGGCCGAGAUGGGCGCCGACCCGAACGUCGACGAUGAUGAUGACAGCAGCGACAUCGAGGACGCGCUCACGGGACGCGCCAAGAACGCCUCGAGCCAGAAGAACGGCAAGCGCGAGCGUGUGGAUGCCAAGGCGCCGGCACGUGAGCCGGCAGCGGCAGCGAAGCGCCAGCGCACCGAGGCUCCGGAAUCAAGGGGCAAGCCACUCACAGCCGCGGUGGCUGCCAAUGACAGCGACGACGACGACGACGAGGAGCACUUCUUCGAUGCGGAUACCGUCGCGGUUGCAGGUGCCGGCGUCUCGUCUCACGCCUCGUGCAAGAGGACGGUGAGAAAGAUCGCUGCUGACAAGGGGCGAUUUGGCAAGGGCAACCAUAAGAAGGCGAAGAAGCGGUGAGUGCUGCAACAGCGCCUCUGCCCCCUUCUGCCCCGUACCACCGCGAAGGCAGCGGUAACUAAUCCACUACUGCAGCGAGUAAUCUAUGGCAUAACUGCAAUGCCAAGGAACAG